GGGGGAGGAUGGCAGGGGAGGAGGGGAGGGAGAAGGGAACUGGGAUUGUCAUAUAAACCAAUCUUGUUUCUAAUUCAAAAAGAAGAAGAAGAAGAAGAAGAAGAAGAAGAAGAAGAAGAAGAAGAAGAAGAAGAAGAAGAAGAAGAAGAAGAAGAAGAAGAAGAAGAAAUGAACCAGUCACUGCCCUGUCUUGGGGCAAAGAAGGAAAACAUGGAAGUCAGAAAACUACAUCUUCAAUGUGGGGGAAGCGAGCUGCUCCCAAUUACUCCAGUACUCAGUGGACAAGCCUGUGAGUGUAAGGGCAGCAUCAAGAGCUGCUGUCUUCUGGCAUCCUAAGUUGUGGACAUCCCUGUGGACUCUAAGGGAGCCCUAAAGAACUGAACAGAGAAAGAUGCAGGCCAAACACUCUGCAGGUCUCAUAUUAUGGGCUGGCAGGCCAUUGAAUUAU
rnacentral:lncRNA from 1 species